rnacentral:rRNA from 1 species
UGGGGAAUAUUGGACAAUGGGCGAAAGCCUGAUCCAGCCAUGCCGCGUGUGUGAAGAAGGUCUUCGGAUUGUAAAGCACUUUAAGUUGGGAGGAAGGGCAGUUACCUAAUACGUGAUUGUUUUGACGUUACCGACAGAAUAAGCUCCGGCUAACUACGUGCCAGCAGCCGCGGUAAUACGUAGGGAGCAAGCGUUGUUCGGAUUUACUGGGCGUAAAGCGCGCGUAGGUGGUUUGUUAAGUUGAAUGUGAAAUCCCCGGGCUCAACCUGGGAACUGCAUCCAAAACUGGCAAGCUAGAGUAUGGUAGAGGGUAGUGGAAUUUCCUGUGUAGCGGUGAAAUGCGUAGAUAUAGGAAGGAACACCAGUGGCGAAGGCGACUACCUGGACUGAUACUGACACUGAGGUGCGAAAGCGUGGGGAGCAAACA